rnacentral:rRNA from 1 species
UACGUAGGGGGCAAGCGUUGUCCGGAAUCAUUGGGCGUAAAGAGCGCGUAGGCGGUCCGGUAAGUCCGCUCUGAAAGUCCGGGGCUCAACCCCGGGAGGCGGGCGGAUACUGUCGGGCUAGAGUCCGGAAGAGGCGAGUGGAAUUCCUGGUGUAGCGGUGGAAUGCGCAGAUAUCAGGAGGAACACCGGUGGCGAAGGCGGGUCUCUGGGCAGUAACUGACGCUGAGGAGCGAAAGUGUGGGGAGCGAACAGG